UUAAUACUCCUUCCGUCCGGAAUUACUUGUCGCGGAAAUGGAUAGAAAUGGAUAUAUCUAGAACUAAAAUACAUCUAGAUACAUCCACUUCUACGACAAGUAAUUCCAGGCGGAGGGAGUACUAA
rfam:Triticum aestivum genome assembly, contig: Triticum_aestivum_CS42_TGACv1_scaffold_031662_1BL